rfam:Claviceps purpurea 20.1, WGS project CAGA01000000 data, contig: scaffold00007
GGGCGAAUGGUUUAGUGGUAUAAUACUCCCUUAGCAUCAGGCGAGUGCAGGACGUUAAGUCCUCGACAGUCAUGGCCGAGGCUGGGAGUGGUCCAGGGUUCGAUUCCCUGUUCGUCCA